UGCUGGUUCACACACAUUCUGGUACGUUGAGAGGGUGAACGAGUCAUGCUCAGGGGUCAGAACAGGAAGUGGCUACUGUUGGAUGAAAGAUUCUGCAGGAAAAGAUGAAAGAUGCUUCAUGGCUCUGGGAGUGGAGAAAGAGAAAAGAGGCCAGUCUUGUCUGCAGCUGUCACGGUGAAAAGUUCCAGACACUGGAGACUCAGGUGCUGGCAGACGAUUUAUGAGAAGUGACAUCUUGGGACAGAGGCCACCUCCAACCAGAGCCCCAUUCCUGCCUGAGCCAUGCUUGGGACAGCGAAAUUUCUGGAAGCUGGAAGUCCAGGAUCAAGGUGCCAGCAGAUUCGGUGUCUGG